rnacentral:tRNA from 1 species
AUAUGAUUUUGCCAAGUCGACUCAUAAUCGAUUGGUCACUGGUUCAAGUCCAGUAGGGGCCACCA